CAACAAUUGCUUUCCUGCAAGAGUUAUGCUAUUUGUAGUUGCUACUGUCACAGUUUAACAAGGAGAGGGAGCUCUUAGAAGAUUCUCUAAAUUUGUUGCAAGAAAGUCACAGAAAGCUACCUUUCAAUGUCUGUUUGCUAUAGCUGAAGGGAAGACUGGUGGUAAACUGACCAACAACCAAAAUGAAAUAUGGAUAAACUGAGAGCAAGUAAACAAUAGGAGUUAAGAAGAUGAGGAUGUACGUGCCAAAGGGAGAGGGUAGAGAAACGAUUGCUAGCAUUCUAGGAGCUCCUGAUUUCCACGAUUGGACAAAAUUGGGAACUACUAAGAAGGUGUGGAGCUACUCACCACCUUCAUCAGAAGCUGUCAUAAUGGAAAUGGUGGAUUUAAGAUUCAGGAUUUACCUUCCAAUUCCAUAUGCCCUUUGACCACAUCCUAAGAAAGCUGUGAGAUUUCAGUAUCCCACUUUUAAGCAUUUGUUGUAAACAAGUCUGGCAGAUGGCCACAACACCUGGGACAAUUAAGCCCAAGGGAUGGUUGAGUAGUUUCUAAGGCAAGCAGAAUCUUCCAUCUGCUCAAAUGGCACUUUCGGGGUUUAAGCAAACCAGUGUUGGCUACUCAGGGUUUAUUCCCCUCACAAGCCUACUCUUCUGUCUUCAAAUACUUACUGGCUGCCCCUCUAAAAAGUAGAGAAAACAGGAAAGUAAAUAUUUACUCUAUUUCACAGCUGUCUAACUGUUGUAAAAUGGAUAACUUAGCUCUGCUGGGUUUAUCCUUAAGAAACAAGAUCAAACGGUUUUCAUGAAAUUCCGCUCACAUUUUAAAUGCAUGACUUAUUUUGGUUUAUUCUGUUCUAGAAUAUUCCAAAGCCAGAAUUAAAUGCUAAAGAAUCAGUUUGGCCAUUUAAAAGAUAUUGGUGCACUAUGUAACAGAUUGUGGCUACCAACAUUCUGAGUCAGUCUUUCCCCUCCAAAUGCCCUGCCUUCCCGUACACACAUCG
rnacentral:lncRNA from 1 species